UGGCGGACGGGUGAGUAACGCGUGGGUAACCUGCCUCAUACAGGGGGAUAACAGUUAGAAAUGACUGCUAAUACCGCAUAAGACCACAGCACCGCAUGGUGCAGGGGUAAAAACUCCGGUGGUAUGAGAUGGACCCGCGUCUGAUUAGGUAGUUGGUGGGGUAACGGCCUACCAAGCCGACGAUCAGUAGCCGACCUGAGAGGGCGACCGGCCACAUUGGGACUGAGACACGGCCCAA
rnacentral:rRNA from 1 species